rnacentral:rRNA from 1 species
AGUGGGGAAUAUUGGACAAUGGGCGCAAGCCUGAUCCAGCCAUGCCGCGUGAGUGAUGAAGGCCUUAGGGUUGUAAAGCUCUUUCACCGAUGAAGAUAAUGACGGUAGUCGGAGAAGAAGCCCCGGCUAACUUCGUGCCAGCAGCCGCGGUAAUACGAAGGGGGCUAGCGUUGUUCGGAAUUACUGGGCGUAAAGCGCACGUAGGCGGAUAUUUAAGUCAGGGGUGAAAUCCCGCAGCUCAACUGCGGAACUGCCUUUGAUACUGGGUAUCUUGAGUAUGGAAGAGGUAAGUGGAAUUCCGAGUGUAGAGGUGAAAUUCGUAGAUAUUCGCAGGAACACCAGUGGCGAAGGCGGCUAACUGGUCCAUAACUGACGCUGAGGUGCGAAAGCGUGGGGAGCAAA